rnacentral:tRNA from 1 species
UGGCAGCAGGGGCUUUCUUUUUUUCCCCCUAAACGAAUCUACAGUUCGCCACCUACUCUCGGCCAUACUACC